rnacentral:rRNA from 1 species
GACCCGUCUUGAAACACGGACCAAGGAGUCUAACAUGUGCGCGAGUCUUCGAGUGACCGAAACUCGCCGGCGCAAUGAAAGUGAAGGCGGACUCGUCUCCGCCGAGGUGAGAAGCCGUCCUGUCGGGGCGGCCGCAUCAUCGACCGACCUAUUCUGCUCUCAGGAAGGUUUGAGUAAGAGCGCACCUGUUGGGACCCGAAAGAUGGUGAACUAUGCCUGAACAGGGUGAAGCCAGAGGAAACUCUGGUGGAGGCUCGUAGCGAUUCUGACGUGCAAAUCGAUCGUCAAAUUUGGGUAUAGGGGCGAAAGACUAAUCGAACCAUCUAGUAGCUGGUUCCUUCCGA